rnacentral:rRNA from 1 species
AUACGGAGGAUCCGAGCGUUAUCCGGAUUUAUUGGGUUUAAAGGGUGCGCAGGCGGCCAUUUAAGUCAGCGGUUAAAUCGUGGGGCUCAACCCCAUUCUGCCGUUGAUACUGGGUGGCUUGAUUGCGGUCGAGGUUGGCGGAAUUCGUUGUGUAGCGGUGAAAUGCAUAGAUAUGACGAAGAACACCGAUUGCGUAGGCAGCUGACCAGACCGCAAAUGACGCUCGUGCACGAAAGUGCGGGGAUCGAGCAGGAUUAGAUACCCUGGUAGUCCGCACAGUAAACGAUGAAUACUUGUUUUCGGCGAUAUAAUGUCGGAGGCAAAGCGAAAGCGAUAAGUAUUCCACCUGGGGAGUACGCCGGCAACGGUGAAACUUAAAGGAAUUGACGGGG